CGCCGUGUAGCUCAGCAAGGUAGAGCGCCUGGCCGCCAGCCGGGAUGUCGGGGGUUCAAUUCCUUCCAUGAUAG
rnacentral:tRNA from 2 species